rnacentral:rRNA from 1 species
UACGGGGGGGAGCAAGCGUUGUUCGGAUUUACUGGGCGUAAAGGGCGCGUAGGCGGCCUGUUAAGUCGAACGUGAAAGCCCCGGGCUCAACCUGGGGAAUUGCGCGCGAAACGGGGGGGCUUGAGUUCGGGAGAGGAGCGUGGAAUUCCCAGUGUAGAGGUGAAAUUCGUAGAUAUCGGGAGGAACACCAGUGGCGAAGGCGGCGACCUGGACGGACAUUGACGCUGAGACGCGAAGGCGUGGGGAGCAAACAGGG